AGAGUUUGAUCCUGGCUCAGGAUGAACGCUAGCUACAGGCUUAACACAUGCAAGUCGAGGGGAAACGACAUCGAAAGCUUGCUUUUGAUGGUCGUCGACCGGCGCACGGGUGAGUAACGCGUAUCCAACCUGCCCAUCACGUUGGGAUAACCUUGACGAAAGUAAGACUAACUACCCAAUGAUAUCUCUAGAAGACAUCUAGAAAGAGAAUUAAAGAUUAUCGGUGAUGGAUGGGGAUGCGUCUGAUUAGCUUGUUGGCGGGGUAACGGCCCACCAAGGCAACGAUCAGUAGGGGUUCUGAGAGGAAGGUCCCCCACAUUGGAACUGAGACACGGUCCAAACUCCUACGGGAGGCAGCA
rnacentral:rRNA from 1 species